rnacentral:lncRNA from 1 species
AGCGAGAGGAGGAAAUUCACAGCUGACAACAAAAUACAUCGGGCAUUUUUGUAUUAGUGAGGAUGUUGUGAUAAAAAUCAACUUGUAAAAAGCAAGCUUCUACCUAUGUCAAGCUUAACUACUUUUAAAAAAUCUCAAAAAUGUAUGAAACAUGGAAUUUGAAGAGAAAUUUGCGCCUACCAUGCUACUUCAUAGACGAACCACUAAAUUUUUCGAUGGAGAAAAUGCGCCGAAAGCGACCCAAAAAAAUUGUCAUGCACACAGGGCUGAUUCUAUUUCGGUUCAUUUUGCACAGCUGUGGUUCGAGCGAUUUUCUUCUGGCGUAGUGGAGGUUACUGAUGUUCCACGCACUAAAAAGGAAUGUUGACGAAAAUGUCGAUAAAAUCGCGGAAAAUAUCGAGAUAGACUUUCAUGUUAGCAGUCCUAGCAUCGCUCAGAAGCUGAACCUCGAUCAUAAAACCAUUUUGAACCAUUUGCAGAAGGCUGAAUACAAAAAUAAACUCGAAUAGGAGAGGAAGUGGGUUUCAUCAAGACAACACCAGGCCGCACACUCUUUGGUCAUGCACCAGAAGCUCUGGGAGCUUGGAUAGGAAGUUGUUAUGGUACAAAGUGACUACUUCCUGUUUCUGUCUAUGGAAAACGUGCUUGGGGUACAAAUUUGACCUCAAUAGUGGCCUGUGAAAAUUUGGGGACAAUGAUUUCUACAAGAAGGGCAUUAUGAAGUUGGAUUCUCGUUGCCAACAGGUUAUAGAACAGAACGGGUUAUACUGGGCUUUAAUCAGAUGAUUGUAACACUUCUUAUAUAAGCAUUGUAAUAACGCGCAAAACUACUUUUUACCCAACUUAAUAUAUCUUGUCAAAUAUUUUAAAUUGUACUGUUAAAUUUACAAUAAUUAACUACAUAUUUGUUGUCAAAUUUCGAAAAUAACAUUUUUUGGAAAAAAAUUAAUUUUUUGUGAACAGCUGUGGAUUUUUCAAAUUUUUUUCGCAAAAAUUUAAUUUUUAAAUUUUUUUUUCAAAAAAAUUCCUCUUUAGUUUGCUUUCAGAUUAACCUUACAGUCAUAAAUGUAUAUUUUAUCAAUUUUUGUUUGAAGAGAAGGCCUCAGAUACCCUCCAAAUUCAGUUCAUCUUACUCGCAUGUGUAUUGUGUAUUUUAAAACGACAAAAUGAAAGUUUCAAAAAAUAAAAAAAAGAAUAGCCAUAAUUUUUUCAAUUGUGCUAUAAAACCUUA